UGAAAGUAAUAAUUUUCAGUAACUCCUGCUCAAUGAUUUUUCAAUAGCCGCAGUCUCCUGUGCUAAGGUAGCAUAAUUAUUUGCCUAAUAAUUAUAGGAUAGAAUGAAAGGAUAAACAUGUAAACUGCUUUAUUUUUUAGAUUAUUUUAAUUUAUAGAAUAAGUAAAAAUUCUUAUUUGUUGAGGGGGACGACAAGACCCUAUUAAACUUUACAUUUCUUGUUUAGCUGGGGUGGCCAAAAACUAUAACUUUUAUUCAGCUAUUAAAUUAAGCUUUUAAUAAAAAUUUAAUAAGCUACUAUAGGGAUAACAGCAUAAUCCUUUUUUAUAGACCUUAUAAAAAAAAGGGCUUGUGACCUCGAUGUUGAAUUAGGGUCCUCCUAGAAGCAACCUUCUAGAAAGAAAGUCUGUUCGACUUUUAAUUACCU
rnacentral:rRNA from 1 species